rnacentral:sRNA from 1 species
UGCUAAGAACGGAGUCAGAACACAAGGAGGAGGGUUUGUGUCGAGAAA